rnacentral:rRNA from 1 species
UACGGAGGGGGCUAGCGUUGUUCGGAGUUACUGGGCGUAAAGCGCACGUAGGCGGCUUCGCAAGUCGGAUGUGAAAUCCCUCGGCUCAACCGAGGACGUGCAUCCGAAACUGCGGAGCUUGAGUACUGAAGAGGAUCGCGGAAUUCCCGGUGUAGAGGUGAAAUUCGUAGAUAUCGGGAGGAACACCAGUGGCGAAGGCGGCGAUCUGGGCAGUUACUGACGCUGAGGUGCGAAAGCGUGGGGAGCAAACAGG